AUGGACACCCUAGUGACACUACACCAUGGAGGAAGCGUGGGGAUAGAUGCUUAUGGGAAUGUUAGUUUUGAUGGUAUGAAGAUCGUGACCAUGUUGUUCGAUGAAAGACCAUCUUUUGACAAGAUUUUCGCUCGAGCUUGUGAGGAGUUUAGUUGCAACAUAAACGACCCUAGAAUAUCAAUUCAGGGUUUGUUGUACCAGGUCGAGGAGCCAUUCACACGACACCAGCGUGCGUACGUGGAGUACUCAAACGAGCUCGACUCACUUACUCCUUCAAUGGUGACCUGGCAACCGUAUCUUGAUCCAUAUUUCGCCAGCAUACAGUUGAGCAGCAUGUGCUCAAUAGACGAGGACAUCUACCUAAUGAGGUGUCCCCUCAUUUGUUUUUAUGCUGUUGAGUACCACUUGCCCCCACAGAGUUUCUCGACAGUUUGGAUUGCGACAGGAGUUUCCGGUGGAGCCCUUCUCGACUUCAAUAGAACUUCAUAAGUUCGACAGACAGAGACAGAAGAAGGCCACGGACUUCGAGACCCACCACCGUGAUUAUAUUGAUGAAUGGGAACAACAGGGGGAUCUUAACUAUGUCAACGAACAGGCACACACAAACUACCACUUUCGAAGGUAUUUGAUUUGGUAUGCUGGUGUGACUAGGUGCAAGCUUAAGGGACAGUGGACAACUGCAGACUAUGCGAAGCAAGAAUCGUCAGACGACGAAGACACUGCGUUCGACAUAGCUGCUCGGCACGGGUCCCAAAUUGAGGCUGCUCCAAUCCUUGACAGAGUGGGAAACUCUAUGCUCGUAUCUGUUGUUGAACUUGAGCGUAUCUUAUAGAGAACUUCAGAUAGUACUACGCUUUCGUUACUAUCAAGGGUAUCACGUCGUCUUCGUCGUGCAUCGGCUCGUUGUGAAUGCCGGUCUCUAGCGAGCGUUGACGUGCAGCUGCCUAUGCCUCCUAUGCAGCCGGAUGUUCAACAUCCCAUUUGUGCAGUUGGACCAUCUACAGCUGGACUGAGCUCCUCGCGAUCGACGCGGGAUACGUUUGAAUACGUGGCCCACGACGACGAGGACGACGACGAUGAACACGACGACGACGCUGGUGCCGCAGGUCAGGAGGAGAUUGGACCAUCACAGUUGCAGGAUGCUCCUACAACUCAGCCAUCACAGCUGACACCACGUAGAAGGCGUCCAUGUGACCCUUACACUCCAGGCACCGACGCUCUUGGGGCCAAGGGCAAGGGUAAGACUAGGAGGAAAUGAAUACUUCGUGAUGUUGGUCUUAUGCUGAAAACUUUGUGAUUUGGACUCAUGCUGGAAACGUUGUAAUGUGAACUAUGUUAUGUGUUUUGGACUAUGUUUUGUGGACAUUGUAUUUUGGACUAUGUUUUGUGGACAUUGUAUGAAGAACUAUGUUAUGUGGAUGUUUUUAUAUUCUCUGUUAUUUUGUGAUGUAUUGUAUGUUGAAAUGUGGUCAUGUCUUAUAAUAUGUGAUUAUUUGAACUGUGGUUGUUAAUAAAAUAAGGGGAACUCUUGCAAAUUUUUUUUGUGAAUUG